rnacentral:tRNA from 1 species
CAUUAGAUGGCUGAAGGCAAGCAAUGGAAUUUUAAACCAUUUUAUAAUAGAAUAGCAACUAUUUCUAAUG